AUAGCUAGGGAGUGGGAGAGGUAGACGGUACUCCGUAGGAAGGGGUAAAAUCCUUUGAUCUAUGGAUGACCACCUGUGGCGAAGGCGGUCUACCAGAACACGUUCGACGGUGAGGGAUGAAAGCUGGGGGAGCAAACCGGAUUAGAUACCCGGGUAGUCCCAGCUGUAAACUAUGCAAACUCAGUGAUGCAUUGGCUUGUGGCCAGUGCAGUGCCGCAGAGAAGUCGUUAAGUUUGCCGCCUGGGAAGUACGUACGCAAGUAUGAAACUUAAAGGAAUUGGCGGGGGAGCACCACAAGGGGUGAAGCCUGCGGUUCAAUUGGAGUCAACGCCAGAAAUCUUACCCGGGGAGACAGCAGGAUGAAGGUCAAGUUGAAGCCUUUACCAGACAAGCUGAGAAGUGGUGCAUGGCCGUCGCCAGCUCGUGCCGUGAGGUGUCCUGUUAAGUCAGGUAACGAGCGAGAUCCUUGCCUCUAGUUGCCACCAUUACUCUCAGGAGUAGUGGGGCGAAUUA
rnacentral:rRNA from 1 species